rfam:Bacillus sporothermodurans strain B4102 NODE_37, whole genome shotgun sequence.
ACAUCCUUUUAAAAGCAGUCCAGAGAGGCUGACAAAGGUGGAUAUCUAUUAUUGGAUUUUGUGAUAUUCAAUGAUGGACUAACCUCUUUGUGGCUUCUUGCUAUAAAGAGGUUUUUUUU